GAUGAAGAACGCAGCGAAAUGCGAUAAGUAAUGUGAAUUGCAGAAUUCAGUGAAUCAUCGAAUCUUUGAACGCACAUUGCGCCCCUUGGUAUUCCGAGGGGCAUGCCUGUUCGAGCGUCAUUAUAACCCCUCAAGCUCAGCUUGGUGUUGGGGCCUGCCGCACGGGCAGCCCUUAAAAUCAGUGGCGGUGCUAUCUGGCUCUAAGCGUAGUAAUUCUUCUCGCUAUAGAGUCCCGGUGGAUGCUUGCCAUUAACCCCCAAUUUUCUAUGGUUGACCUCGGAUCAGGUAGGGAUACCCGCUGAACUUAAGCAUAUCAAUAAGCGGAGGA
rnacentral:misc_RNA from 1 species